GAUGAACGCUGGCGGCGUGCCUAAUACAUGCAAGUCGAGCGAACGGACGAGAAGCUUGCUUCUCUGAUGUUAGCGGCGGACGGGUGAGUAACACGUGGAUAACCUACCUAUAAGACUGGGAUAACUUCGGGAAACCGUAGCUAAUACCGGAUAAUAUUUUGAACCGCAUGGUUCAAAAGUGAAAGACGGUCUUGCUGUCACUUAUAGAUGGAUCCGCGCUGCAUUAGCUAGUUGGUAAGGAAACGGCUUACCAAGGCAACGAUGCAUAGCCGACCUGAGAGGGUGAUCGGCCACACUGGAACUGAGACACGGUCCAGACUCCUACGGGAGGCAGCAGUAGGGAAUCUUCCGCAAUGGGCGAAAGCCUGACGGAGCAACGCCGCGUGAGUGAUGAAGGUCUUCGGAUCGUAAAACUCUGUUAUUAGGGAAGAACAUAUGUGUAAGUAACUGUGCACAUCUUGACGGUACCUAAUCAGAAAGCCACGGCUAACUACGUG
rnacentral:rRNA from 1 species